UUUUUAUUUUUUUUUCUGAUAAGUAAAUAAGCAAGAUAUAUUAAACACACUUGCCAAAAGGCACAACAAAGUACACACGGAGUAUACAAAUAAAAAAAAGUGUCAUACACUUCAUGUUUUCUAUUUUUAAAAUAAAAAAUUUCCAUAGAAAGUAGAACAUCUUGUACAAAAAGUGUACAUUUACCUUAUGUCUUUGUAAAUCACUUUCAUAAAUUUUAAAGUUUUAAGAAUAAAAAAAUUUUUGAUACCUCAAUUUUUUUAAGUAGUUUUUAAAACCACCAUUUUUCAAUGUAAGUCUCUAAGAGUUUUUGUAUCUUACAUAAAAGUUACAACUAUUUUCUAAUUUUAACAACAAAAAAUAGGAUGUGUAUCUAAAUGGACACUUAGUUAAUAGUUUUUGUCAAGAAGAUGGAGGAAAUGAAUGAGUUUUACAACCAUACACGUUUCAAAUGCUUGAGAGAGAGAGAGAGAGAGAGAGAGAGAGAGAGAUGAGUUUGAAGUGCUCGUGUUAUAGGAUUCAAAAAUUCCCAUCCUUACCCUGAAAAAUAAUGGAGAAUGAAUGGCCAAUGCCCAUGCAGAAUGAUAUAAGAAAGGUGAGAGUUUCCGCAGCCUUAGUUGGUGAGAUUGUUUAUACUUCAGCUCAAAUAUAUAUAUAUAUAUAUAUAGAGAGAGAGAGAGGAGGGAGCGAGGGACGGAGGCACUGGGAUUUGGGAUUUAUCUCGCACCAGGACAAAGAACUUGAGAAUUGGUUAAAAGAAUAUCAGGAAGAAGCCAACAAACCAUCUCCAUAGAAACCAGAUUUACUAGAAUGGGAUUUGAGAUCUAUUUAAAUUUCAGAACAGUUUGGCAAUCUUGCAAAUAUGCAAUUAGCUAAUAAAAAAUUUAUAGGUGCUUACAAAAAUACUUGGACUCAGUGUGCCAAAAGUUCUCUUAUGGAAUGGAAAAGCUAUUUUAAUUUGACUCCUAAACAUAUCUUAAAGAAAGAACCAAGGCUUUAUCAUAAUUUAUCAUUUAAAAAAUAAUAAUAAAAGUAAGGGGUAUAGAAAAAAAAUGAUAAAAAUACAGGGGAAAAAAAAAAAAGCAAAGAGUAGAUAAAAAUUAAUUAAAAGACCAUAUUAGAUAUCCAUAAAUUCCAAGUGUCAAACUAAUUUUUGGUAGAUUAUAUUUCUUCACAUCGACCAUCAACCAAUCCAAGUUUGGAAAUUAUAUUACUGGUGUGCAGUUUCAAGGACUUCAAAUUUCAAAGCCACAAAGGCAUUCAUAUUCAACUGCUAAUUCAUCUCUAUUUCUUGUGUUGUAUAUGAGGUGCAUAUUCUAAAGUAAAAUGUAUAUUAAAGUCAUGAGGUAAACAUCUAAAGAAAGCCUCAGACCUUAGAGCUCUAGGUUGUUGCUUGGGGAUUUUUCUUGAGCCUUGGCUCAACAUAAGCCUUCAAAGUUUUUUAAAUAUUUGGCUUUUGCAUUGUGUAUAAUCAAAAUAUUCAACAAGUAUGAUUAUAAAGAAAGAAGCCAUAAAAUUCAGAAGUUCUCAAAAGUGAACAUGACAUGUUAAGGAAACCAAUAUAAGAAGAAGAAGAAGAAGAAGAAUAACAUGUCUGAUAGAUAAGCAAUGCCAUCUAUGCAUAUGAGAAGCAGUUUUGUAAAUAUAGAAUGCUUUUGGAAAAAAGAAAUCCUAGACCACAUUGGUUGUUUCCAUCCAGAGAUCAGUGCGCAUCAGGCACAUGCUGGAUUCUGGAAUAAACGACCAUUGUUGUCUGGGACACAUAUCGCUUCAUCUGUCAUGCUCUCAUUCCAAGGAUCAAUCUCCAAAAGAGCAUCAUAGUUGUAGAAUGAAUGUCCUCUCCAAUAUUUUCAGCAUGGCAAUGCAGCAAAACACAUAGGCAAACUGUUCUUCUCUUAUUCCCACAUAUGUGAAUUUAGGCUUGGCAAUCUAUCAUAGGACUGCCUAAAUUUUGUGCUUCAGUAGCCUCAGAUGCAUGAUACUUUGCAUCAAGGAAAAAAACAGCAAUGUGUAAUGGUAGACGAGCAUCACACACAUUUCCUCUCUCGUAGAAUAAAUAAACUUAGCAGCAGCAAGCAAGUAGCAAAAUACCACAAGUACAAUUUCACAGUAACAUAAAUUCUAGAAGACAUGCUUAUGAGGAAGAAUUAUACUAAAGAAUCUCAUUCAGAUAAACACCCACUGACGGAAAAAGAUUAUGUGUUGUAAGGUCUAUCGACCUUAAGCAACAAAAUCUGCAUCUCAAUGCCUUCCUCAAAACUUUCCACAAACCGAGGCCUUGAAGCACAAAUCUUUUAGGACAUAUAAAAGGAAAAAAUAAUAAUAAUAGAACAAUGCAAGGGUUUUGACUUCGUUCUCAUCCAUCCUUUAAGUGUUCCAGAUGUUGCCACACAGCAUGUUUAAUUUCAUACAAGAACUACUACUUAUUUAUGGAAUAUGGAGAACAAAAUUUUUAAUAAAUCCAAAGUAGGUACAACCAUUCAAAUAUGUUGACAGCAGAAUCCUACACAUGUUUCAAACUCUAGACUCCUGAUUCUAUUAUCAGUUUAUCACGCUUGCAUAAUGGGGUCUCCUAGAUCAAGACCCAAUUGCAGAGCAAAAAACAAAAACAUGACUUUUCUUCUUAUUUAUACAUUAGCUAGCCAAGUCACUCAGUUAAGAAAGCAUUUGAGAACUUCAAUGCUGGAAAUUUGACUAGAAUUUUUAAAUCACUAAAAGGGCAAUGCAGAAAAGAAAGAUGCAAAAAACAGAAACAAGAUGCAAAAAGAUCAAUGCAAUCUCAUCUAACCAACAUAUGCCCUAAUUCACUGCAUGGUCUCAAAUCAUUGUCCCGCAACUAUCCAUUGAGGCCAAAAAACGAAUUAAAAAAAAAAGAAAGCACCAGUUGUUAUUUAAAUAAUUUAAAAAUAACCAAGCCCACCGAGUGUAAGUAGGAUUUAAAAUGAGUCCAUGAUGUUUCUUAAUUCUCACAAAAAUUAAGUGAGCCCAUUUAGUUCAAAUGAACUUUAAUAAAUGAUCUCCUUGCUAUUUUAUUGGUUUAUAUCAUGAUAUCUCCACUUUAGAUUAUCAACCAGUUCUUUCCAAUGCUCUGUAAAACACACGAUAUGCAAUCAAUUAUAACAGGAUCGAGGAUGUCUAAACACCAAGAAUUUCAGACCUCAAACAUGUUGAGAUGAGUAGGGCACAAAAGGAAACAGUAAGAGAAGUAAUGAAGCACUGGUAAACAAGUACCUUAUUCUAGACCUGGUUGGUGAUGGUGAUAAGUUACGUUUUCUUGAGUGCAGCUUCCUGCAUUACCCAACUGAAUAUGAGGGUCCACAAAGAAAGUGAGGACGAGUGAAAUCAGAAAAGAGAAUAAGAUUGAAGUUCUGAAUUAGUAGACCUCUUAGAAUCCUCUGAUGCCUCAUCACUUGAAGCAUUGGUAUGACUAACCACUGAAUUGUCCUUGCUACUUCUACCCCUACUGCUAAUUGAAGAGGAACGUCUUCUCUUAUGCAUGCCUGAUUCAUUUGCAAGUUUAUGUCUUGACCUAUCUUCCUUCUCAUCAUUUGAUCGUUCUCCUUUUUGGAUACUCUCUGCUUUCACAUUAGCUCUUUUGAACUUUUCUGUUUCUUUUCUAUCCUCCUUCACAUCAAGAUGGGCAGACCUUUUCCUGGAAUCAGAUUCCUUGGCCUUUUCCCCGGACUUACUACCUUGUCGUUUUGUUUUAUCUUUUGAGCCAUUCUGAUCAUCUGUCUUUUCCUUUCUUAAAUUUCUUUCAUCAUGUCUCCGAUGGUUUUCAUCCCUCUUCACAUCUGCUCUAAGCUUAACACUCUCCUCUUCCUUAACAAAAUUUUUCUCAGAAGAACUCCUUUUAGUUUCAUGUCUAUUAUUUUUAUCUGAUUCAAUUUUGGUUUCCUUACCUUGAGAACCAUCUGUUAUUAUCGCAUUAGCAGUCUGGCUACGCAAUUCAGGUUUCAUGGCCUUUUCUCCUACACAUUCAUUUGACCCAGAAACAUAACUGCCUUUUCCAGCAUCAACGUUAACCUCAUCUUCCCUACCUCCGGAGACUGCCCCAGUUCUAAGGCCAAUACUACUAUUCUGUGACUCUGUACCUGCCCCAACAUCACUUAGCCCACUAGCCACAGUACUGCCAUUAUUUUUGGCCCCGAUUAAACUUGUUCUGUUAGGACCAGCCUCUAUGUUUAUUUGACCUUUACCAUGGUCUUCAAUUUCUACUUGUGAACUGUCAUUCUCAACUGCAUCAGGUACAUUGUCUGAAAAUUUUUUCAUGCUUGACUGUGGAUAAACACUAUUUUCCCGAGAAUCGAGUGCACUGAAGUUCUGGACUUCAUCAUCUUCAUCAUCAUCAUCAGAAGCAUAGCUUCCAAGACCUAAUACAUCCCCAGGAGAGCUGGAACUGGAUUUUCCACUAACAGCUUCGGUCUCAGUUUCCUUGUCUUUAACUGGAAUUAGAACCUUAGCAGAAGCCUUAGGAGUUAGAACUGACGGAGAAAUCUGUGAUACCUUAUGAUUUGAAGUGACAGUCCUGUUGUCAACUGCAGGAAUAAAAAGUAACAUGACUGAAUAUUUAAGUUUAGAGAACACAGAAAGUAAUUACGAUUAUUUCAGUAGUUUCCCACAAAAAUUAAUAAUAUAUGAGGAAUCAGAGGACAUACCUUCUACCGUCAUAUCAUCUUCACUAAGAACUUUUGUUGCAAUUUCAUCAAACAGCUCAUCAGUAACCUGUUAAAAACAUAAAAAGUAAAAAAAAAUAUAUAUUUCACAAAAAGAAAUUAUAUGAUACAACCAUAAGAAUUUAAGCAGCUCCAACCUUUAAAAGAACUUCAGUUACUAUUCGUUUUAUUUCCUGGUUAAUAGCUGCAGUUCUAGCAGCUUCCACAUAAUCCUACAUAGAGCAAAUGAAUAGCAACUUAGUUCCAUGAAGUGCACCCAGAUAAUUACAUAACCAAACAGUAAAAUUAACAAACCCAUUGACUGGAGCACCAAAGAAAAGACAUUUCAGCAGAGGGAAGAAAACUACAUAAAUGGAUGAAAUCAAAAUGAAUAAUCAUCAAGCAGAAGAAAGUAACCUCAUCAUCAUCCUCUUCUUCAGUUGACCUAGAAGAAUCAAUACUUUUGCUAUCUGCCUGAUCACCUUUCCCAAAAGAUUUAUCAACACCUUCCUCCUCGAUGAAUUGAGUUUCCUCUCUAGGAUGCUCCUGAGAAGAACUUGUAAUAACAGCUUUCUUCUUAAUUAUUUCUUCUCUUAGCCAAUUAGGCACUGAAGCCUGAAAAAAUUCCACAAUAUAGAAUUCAGCAACAAUCAUGCAACUGUCAAGCAUCAAUCCUGGGGAAUAAAAGAAUAAUUACCUUUUUAGGGCGUUCAAGACCACUAGAAAGAUUGUAUGCAUCACCCGGAAAGGCUGUCGUGGGAUGAAGUGCAGUUCCUGCACCUAGGCCAAAGGGUGCACUGGCAGAUGGAACUGUCUGCUGGAAGCUUGGUCCUGGCAUCCUUCCAAAUAUGGGUGCAGCAUGUCCAGGAAUGGAAGGCAUGGUUAUUGAAGGAUCAUGCUGUAAAAAGGAAACAAAUGUUACCAGAUUCAUGUAAAGGCUGUAGAAUUUAAGGAAAAUGAAUCAAUUCAAAACCAUAAAACCUGUGGCCCUGUUGAGAGUACUGGAGGAAAAACUACCCCGGAACCAACAGGAGGAGUCCAAGUAUGCAUAGAUUGCACAGCUGCAACAGGGUCCAUGCCUCUCCCCGGUCCCACUGAAUCAGAAUGAGCAUAGCUGGAUUGCAUAUUCGGAUCAUGGUCACGAUUGAAUCUAGGUGCAAAAUCUAAAGGUUGAUCACUAAGAUCGACUAUGGGAUCCGCUGUCUGAUUGCUGUAUGCAAAGGGCUGUUCUGACAAAACCGAUCUACCAACAGCAGGCAGUGAUGAUUGAACAUGAAGUUGUCCAUCUUGAGCUGAGGAUAUAGGCACAGGUAAUACCUUCUGCAGCUGCUCAUUUUUACCUACAACCUCUUCUUUCCCUGCAAUUUGAGUAAAUAGUCAAACAGCAAUGGCAAUGAAAAGCAAAUAAAAAUUCUACUACUAAUAAGUACUACAGGAGUAGAAAAUUAUAAAUGUUGUAUAGUUUCAAAACAUCAGGCUGCUAUCACAGUUUAGAAAUGUGUAAAUCUUGAAAAAAGAAAAAUUGUGAACCAUCUGAUAAAACAAAUUAUGUAAUCUCUGCAACAGUAAAGGAAGAGAGCAACGACAUGAUGCAUAAAACGACAGCAACUAAAAAUGUAUUUCUGUAAACAGGAAUGCAAAAAAUUCCUUUUUUGAUAAGUAAAAAGGUAAUAUUAUAAUAAACAAGGAUGUUAUACAUCAAGGUAUAUAAGGCAUAUACAGAGAGUGAUGGGGGAAAGUCUAUUCAAGGAGGAAAGGGAAAACAUAAAUAAACUUUAAGUAGGAUUAAUAUUAAUUAGAAUUGAAUUAAGAUUAGGAUUUGUUGGAGUCAAAUUAGUAUUAGCUAGUUAAGUUAUAAUAUAAUUAGAAUUUGAGUCAUGAUAGAUUAUUAGAGUCCUAAUAGACUUUGAAUAUUAUAAUAAGAAUUAGAGUCAUAAUAGAUUAUUAGAAUCUUACUUAUCAAAAAAAAAAAUAGAUUAUUAGAAUCUUAGUAUACUUUGGAUUUCUUAGAGAAGCCUAUAAAUAAGCUAAUUAAUGUAAAUAAAAGGGACGAAUUAAUUGAUGUUAAUAAUAUUAUAUAUAUAUAUAUAUAUAUAUUUCCUAUCAAAAAAAAUAUAUUAUAUUUUUUUUUCUCAUUACAAUUGUUACAACCCUCAAUAGUGAGACUCCAUUGAUUUUCUUCUAGGUAAGACUCGUAGAAGGCCUUAGUGAGACUCUGAGGUUUUCAUCUUUUCUUCGUUGUUUCUUUUUUCUCUCUAUGUUUUUUAUUUUAUUUUUCUCUACCAUAAACUUUAUUCUUUGUUCCUCUCCUUAUGCUCUAAAAUCAAAACUCUAGCCCACCUACUUUUGAGUGUAGGCAACCAUCCUAGGGACCCAAAGGCACAACCCUAAAGGGAUAGGACAACCAAAAAACAACCGCUCCCUCCCUCACCAAGAAUCCACCCAAUCUACUACUUUUGAGUGUAGGCAACCAUCCUAGGGACCCAAAGGCACAACCCUAAAGGGGUGGGACAACCAAAAAACAACCACUCCCUCCCUCACCAAGAAUCCACCCAAUCUACAAAAUCAAUAAAAGACAGUAAGCCUACUUCUAUGUAAUAAUGUAAAAAAUUAUUGUAUAUUCCAACACUUAAAAUUCCCUACUGUCCAUAAAUUUGUCUUUAUGUCAACAUGCACUACUAAGUGUGUAAGUAACCUUUUACUUGUGGGAUAAAACAAUGAUGACCUGUUGCUAUAUUAAGUGAUUCUUGAAAGGUUACAACAGGGGCAAUAGAGAAAUCAGAGAAAUCAAAAUAUUCCUGGUCAUAGUCAUCAUAUGUCUCCCGGUACCAAACGCAUGUGGAUGCAAGUAACUGUAAUGUAAGGAAAAUUGGAAGCUAUGUGGAUGAGAGAGCAUCCUUAAGAACACGAGCAACCAUAUACAACCCUCAGCCUGAGUCUGGUCAGUUUACACCACUAGCCUGAUGUCAAACCCUGGAAUAGAUAAAUAUGGCAGAAACGUAGCAAUUUAUAGUUGUAUUGAUAUGACAUGAACUGACUGUUAUAGAUUGGGCUCUAAUCUGUCCAGUAGCCUCCAUGUGAGGAUAGCAAUGAUAACUUUAAAUUCUAUUGGAACUCCAUAAGGUACAAAAUCAUAUCUAUUGAUCUUUAUAUGUUCACUACAGUGCAAUUUUUGCACCCUACAAAUCAUAUACUAGUAAUUUUAUUUUAUUUUAUUUUUUGACAGAUGACUUUGUUUGUUUGGUCACAAACAAUAGAACCUGGGACCUCCCUAUCCCACCAUCAACCUCUCCCAACCCAAACCCUAGGAACCACAAACUUGUCAUAUUUGCAUUUAUUUGACAACAUUCUGGUUCUAACUAUAUAUACUUGUCUCUAGUGACAAUGCCCAAAGCAAUAUUGAAAAUUUUCAUGUUUUGCUACAAAUUUUCACACAACAAUUUCGAUAUUGAUAUUUCCAUUUCCAAAACCUCAAUGGUGAUAUCAACUUGACAGCCAAUAAUGAUAUUUACUUCCUUGGCAUCCCCAAUCCACAUGUUUUUCUGUCAAAAGGAAAAAAAAUAUAUAUAUUUUCUUGUUAUAUUCCUUAAUUGAUCUAAUAAAAAAAUAUUAUGUAGAUAUAUCAACCUAAAAAAUUAUCCAAACAUUUGAAAGACUGCAUUUUUUUAUAUGUAACAUUUUUUAAACAAUACUAGGACUUGAACUGGAACAUCCCACAUAUCCACCCCAACCCUUGCCACAUAAGCCAGGCCUAAAGGGACUUGAAAGACACUUCAUAAUUAUUAAAUGGCAACCAUUAAAAAUAUGCUGCAAAAGGACUUAAAAUUCUUCAAGCGAUAAGAGUUUUCAUCAACCCUGAGAACUGAGGAAACACCACUCUUAUUGCAAGAUAACAUGAAAAACAAUUUCAAACCCUAUCAUCACCAGCCAAUAAAAAUUUGUUUACUUCUUGGAAGAGGAAAAAAUAAUUAAAUAAAUAACUAAAAACUCAACCACAUUCACUAUAUCUAUAGAUUGCACAAGUUGGAAACUCAUAAAACAUCAUGAACUUUUUUGUUAGUGAUCAUUCAAUACAGAUCCUAUUUCAGAUAAGCUGACUAGUUUUAAAGAGCUAUGAGUAAAAUUGACAAAUUCAGAAAUAGAAUUAAUAAGUGAAAACAAAUUCCACAGAAGCAGUUCUUCAUCACAAGCUUCUCAUGCUAAUUCAAAAUGCCAAGUGAAUUAUUACCUGUAACAGAAGAAUAACUAUAAGGUACCUCCUGCUGAUGAAUAGAUGGACUUGCAGAUAAUUUUUCUUGAUGAGGAAAUACAGCACUUGAAUCUCCAAUUGCAGUUCCAUCUCCGACAGCAAAAGGUGGACGACCAUCUGGAACAUAUGAAGAUGGUCCGGAGCUGAUAGAUGCAGACUCCUGCACAUGAACUACUGGUGGCCUGUGAAGAGGUGCACCUGGAACUGGAAAUUGUUGAUAACUUGAUGAGGAAAAUGAUUGGUGUUGAAUGUCUGGAUAAUGAGGAUCAAUCGCUUGUGGAUACUGAUCAUGAUAAUGAUUCUGUUCUUCUUGUCUACCAACUGGUGUAAACUGUGAUUGGAGAUGCUGAUUCUCCAUUGCAGCUUUGGCUGCAGCCCAUGCUCUUGCCCUGGCAGCCCAAUCUUCCUCAUUGCUAUGGGCUGCCAUUACACAAAUAAUGAAAAAUCAAGCCCAUGGUCAUUAGCAAAAAAGAAGCAACACUCGACUUAAAACCAAAUCCUAGCAGUAUUCUUUACAAAGAAAUCAUUUAAAAAAGAAAGAAAAGUGAAGUGGGAUUUGUGAAUCAACUUUAGUCAGAACAAUUCUGGACUCUCAUCACCAAGAAUUUGUUCAUUAAAUUGCAGAAGAGCAACGAGUUCAAUGUCCAAUCAAUUGUUAAUGAACUCCAAAGAGGCCACACUUGAGACAAUUUCUUUUGGACAUAACAAUCAUGUUACAAAGCAUUCUAGGUUUCCAAAAGAGGCAACAAAACAGUAACUUGAAGGGGCUUGGGAAUUUGCUACUAGUUUAUAAAUAUUCCCAACAAAAAUACAAAUAAAAACCAUAAUUUUUUAAAUUUAUCGUAGCUUGUACAUAUGGAAAAUCUAGCCAGUUUCUGUCCCAAGGAUGACUAUUUAAUGAGAGCAAUGCUACUUAUCAAAAAAAAACAAAAGAAAACUAUCUAAUGAGAGCACGUGCGGCUUUUUAGCCUUUUUUAAUAUAUUUUGUUAUUUAUCUAUCAAAAAAAAAAAAAAAACUAUCUAAUGAGAGCAAUGCUAUACAGUGCAAAUUUUCAACUUCCCAUUUAUAUGCAUGUUACUUUUCUCUUUAAUUUCAAAAUAAAACAUACAUAGACUGAAGUACUCACAAAUCAAUCAAGCAAUAGAAAAUACAAAUCAGAAAUGUAAUAGUAACCAAAUAAAAAUAACAUAAGUAAAAAAAUGAAAUGAUCUAUUUGAUAUGAACAAGAGGAAUCAACUUCCCAAUAUUAAGUUGCAAAAAAACUCACCAGAGUAAUCCCAACCUUGGUGAUGAGCCCAACUUGGAUUGCCCCAUUCCUACAAGUAUUUACAAGAAAAUCCUCGUGAAGUUUGAACCAAAGUCUCACCCAUCCUCCAGCACAAUGGUGCUUGGGCAAAUUUCAUAUAUAAUUACCGAAUGAAUGUGUGCAGCAGAAGAAAAUAAAGAAUUGAUAUCAUCACUAUUAUAAUCCUGCCUUCUUUUUGAAUGGAUUACAUAAAUAGAUAAAUAAAAUAAAUAAAUAGUGCACAAAAAAAUUCUUUUUGGUUGGUACCAGAGGAAUUUUAUCAGGGAGAAACAAGUACAAAGGAAGGAAUAUCAUUCAUACUAAUACAGAAUAAUCUAGGUUACCCCAGAAGCAAGUUGAUUAAGAGGCAAAAAGAAUGGUUAAGAACCCAAAAAGAACCUGCACCCUAAAGGAUUCAAGCACACAACCCAAAAUAACCUAUAACCCAAAAGGGUUUGAGCACACAACCCGAAUUGAACGUCCAUCAUAAUGGAUUUGAGCACACAGCCAUCCAAUCCAGCAAAACUAAAAAGGUGAAAAGAUUAAGAGAAAAUCGAGGGAUAUGUCACAACACAUGCAAUAUCCUAACCAGACCAUUACUAGGAUCUAGCAUCAUCAAUAACUGUAGAAUUUAAUGCCAAUUGCAAAACUAUGCACUCAUCCUAUGAAAAAGUUAACAUGAAUGAGAAAGGACUCAUAAUUCAAUUGGAAUGUAAACUAACAUUUAAGAAAAAAAAAUAACAGAGGGGAUCAGAGAAGAAGGCUAUCUUAUAAGAUUACUCCUAACAACGUAAACUAUUACAUAAGCAACCAGAAGAUCACCAAAAGAAAAAAGAAAAAAACAAAACAAAAAGGAAAAAAUUCUGUUUCACUGAUGAUAAUGAAAAACCACCACAAUGUCAAAGCAAACAUGAGGUAGCAAGAAAGAAGGUAUUGUUCAUCAAGUGACAAGGCGAAAACUACACUCCUGUCUGUUUAGUGUUCAACAAAUUUUAUUUUUUUUCUUUUUUGAUAGGUAAAAUCAAGAUAGUAUCGAGUAAGAAGAAGGGGCCCCCAAAAGGUGUCCCGAAGCAUACAGGAAGUAUACAGAGUUCAAGAAAUUUAUGUGUGUAGAAGCAAGAGUUAAUUUCAUGUUCUUGAUCUGAAAAGUUCUUCUCAAAGCAUGCUGACAAAUAAAAAAAUGCAAAAUACAGUGAUGAGAGAAAAGAAAACCCUAGAGAACAGGGAAAGCAAUACAAGAAUUAAACCUAAUUGGAAAGAAAAAUAAAAAAGGCAGAUGGCUAAAAAUACCUGAUUGUGCUGAGGAUAAGAUUGGGGAACCUGAGAAUGAGGAUGGGAAGGGUGAGGAGGAGGGAAGUGGGGGCGAGGAGGGGGAGGGAACUGGUUGCGGACAGGGUGCGGAGGGUAAGGAGGGAGAGGUGGAGGAGGAUAAGAAUGGGGAGGGAGAUGAUCGGAUUGUGGAGGAGGAGGUGGUGGUGGUGGCGGAGCCCACUGCUGUUGCUGUUGCUGCUGGUGAGGAGGCAAGGGCGAGGGAGACGAAGACUGGGAAGGAUGGUACUGGAACUGGCCGGGAAACCAUGGAGCUGGCUGUCUGGGAGGGGGUUGUUGCUGUUGGUGGUGGUGAUGGUGGUCGGCCAUGGAGGGUGGCGGUGGUCUCAUGAAGCGGUGAGGCUGGUGGUACGUAUCCAUCUCCUACCUUGUGAAUUGUGAUUGGGAUUUGGGGGUUUUGAUGGAUCCUAUUUGCACAAAAGGAAAGUAAUUGUUACAUAAAAGUUUUAAUCAAUCAAACCCACUCGCAAAUGGUGAUCUUCAACAUGAUGGGAUUUUAGAAGCGACCCACUCAUGCCUUUUGUUGUGGAGAGAUUACACACCUUUCUCGCCUUUGCUUUGGCUAUUAGAUUAACAACAUCCACGCGCCUCCGCCUCUAAUGCUUUAUGACUACUCGCCAUACGCGCGCUCAGUCUCAGAUGGUGGCGGUGCCCUAAAACUGCUGCUGCCCUACCUUAAUACGGUCUGCAAACAAUCUACGCCUAUCUCUCUCUGGUAUACAGUUAGGGACAAUGGUGUUUUGGAAUUCCAAAAAUUAAGUUUUAAUCUAUAUAAAUUCAUCGUUUAUGCUCAAGAACUAGAAGAAAUGUGAAAAUUAAGAAAAAUGAUAUGAAUUUUUUAUCUUUCCAAAAAUAACCUACUAUGAAAAAAAAAAGUAGAAAAAUAUUAUUUUUAUUUUUUUGUAAACCUCAAUAAGAUUUAAUUUACUUUAGUGAUUUGGAAAAAAUACACUCUUUUCUAAAAAAAUAAUAAUAAAUAAUAAUAACUAUUAUUAUUAUUUAAAAAUCAAACAUCUUAAAAAAUAUAUAUUUUUAAAAUUGUGUAUAUAAAAAAUAACUAAAAAUAUGUCAAAAUUAUUUUUUUUUUAAAUGAUAUAUUUUUAGAAUAUAUUUUUUAAAAAAAAUAGUUUUCUAAAAAUAAUAAAUUUUCAGAAUCAUUAUUAAAAAAAAUUAAGAUAAAAAAGUUUGUCAAAUAUUGUGGUAAAAAAUACUCAAAAUAGUUUUGAAAUGUAUAUUGGUAUCUUCACAUUUUAUAUUAUUUUCAUAAAUUAUACAACUUUUAUGGGUCAAAUCUUAAUUUUUAGGUUCAACCGAAUUCAAAACACAAUUAUCCCUACAAUUAGCUACCAAACAAACCGUGAGCAUGGUACCCCAAACAUACUUUUAAAAAUGGGGUAAUUGUAUUUUGGGCCCAAAAAUUAAGGUUUGGUCUAUAAAACUUACAUAAUUGAUGGAAAUGAUAUAAGAUAUCAAAAAACCAAAAUACUCAUUGACCUUUCAUAUAAGUUUUUUUGGUCUUUAUUGCACCACUAUUCAUACAAUCAUAAUAAUUUUAUUUAAACAAUUUGGAUUUUUUAUUUUUUUUUAAACUUUUUUUUAUAAAUAAUUGAAAAUCAGUAUUAUUUUUUAUUUUAAAUUAUAAAUAAAGAAAAAUUACGUUCAAUAAAGAAUUAAAACCUUGUUUAGUAUAAUAAUUCUAUUCUAAAAAAUGGUAAUAUGAUUUAUAUUUUCUUUUUGAAAAAAUAUUUAAUCAAAAAAUAAAACUAUUUUUAAAAAUAAAAAUUGAAAACUUGUUUAGUACUAUUUUUUAUAUGAAAAUAAUAAAAAUAAUUAAAUUUCAUUCAUUGAUUAUCCAUAAAAUUUUAUUUGUUUAUAAUAAGAGUAAAAAGAUUCAAUAUAUUUAAAAAAUAAAAAUAAAAAACAAAAAGUUAGAAAUAAGUAAUACUUAAUUGAGAAUAGAAAAAAGAAAAAAACACAAAAAAAAAAAUUGAAAUUUACAAUCAUUAUGUGUCUGUGUAGUGAUUAAGGGUAUUUUAAAAAUUAAUUAAGGAUAAUAUCAUUCAACUUAAUUUCUACAUUUUAUUUGAGUCUUGGGUUUAAAUGUGCAUGAUAUAUGGACCUUUAGUCAAUUUUUGGGUCCAAUUGGAUCCAAAACACAAUUCUCCCUUUAAAAAUUAAAAAAAUAAAAAUUUCAUCACAGAAUAGUGAACAGUCUUAUGUUAUUUAGCACAAACAAAUUUUUUUUAAUUCCAAAAAUAUAUUUGAAAAAUAUUUAUUGAUAUAGUUUUUUUUGAAAAAAAAAAGUAAAAAUAAAUUAUUUUUUAUUUUUUAGAAUAAAUUUUUAGAUGUUUUAGAUUUUUUUUAAUAAAAUAUUUUAGAAAACAAUUAAGAAAUAUAAAAAUAUAUUAAAAACUUUUACAUUGUAUAUAAAUGAUAAAAAAAAACCUAUUUGUGUGUUUGAAAUGUUGAAUUCUAAAAUAAUAUUUUAUACCCAAAAACAAUUUAUAACUAUUUUUAAAAUAUGACCAAAAAUACCCCUAUUGUCUGGACAAGGUGAACUGGUGAAGAAGGCCUUAUCAUCCCCCUCUAGCGACGGCCCGGCAUCAACCUUGAGGCCUCUAAUGUGAAAAAUGCUGGGGAGAUCAUUGACCUUCCAGAGCAGAUAAUGUGGCUUUUAUGUGAUUUGUAAGUUAUAACUUACAGUCCCUUGCAGGUCUCAUCUCACCAGUAAUGUGCCAUUUACAUUACAUGGACCCGUUGACCCAAAGUCUCAAUUUAUGGUAAAAAGGUUGACCCAAUAUUUAUUUCCACAACCUUCUGAAAAUAACUAGACCUAACAGGCUACAUAAAUAAAAAAGGAAAUCACAAGUUACAGUGGUUUCACUCUAGAUGUUUGUAGUGAAAGUGUUUUUUUAAAACUAUUUUUAAAAAAUACUUAUCCGAAAAACACUAUAAGUAAUUUUUUAAUAUUACAAAUAACUUGUCAUAUUUUUUUUAAAGUGUUUUCUAAAAUUUGUCAAAUAACUAAUUUUUUAUUAAAAACACUUUUUAGGCAAAAACGUUUUUUAAAAUCAUUGUCAAACAAAUUCGGUAUUGGGUAUUUAUAUAAAACUUUCCUCCCUAAACCAGAACACAUUUGGAUUUGAGGCUUUCGUUGCCAGUAUUUCAAUGAAUUUAAGCAAGGUAAGAGAGUGAAUUACAUGUAUCAGCAACUGGUAUAAGAUCCAAGUAGCAUUUCAUUCUCUGCUAUUGCUAUCUAUAUGCACCCCAUGCUUCUUGGAUAACAGUUUAGGAUCAUCCACCAAUAAAAGAAUUACAAAAUAGAAACAAAAGAAAUGAGAUAUUUUGGUGCAGCAAAUUCCUUUUGGAGCAGCAUUGCAUACUUUACAGGGGUUGAGUCGGCAGCAUCCCAACCACUUCAAUGAUACCUUUAUCUUUCUGUUUCCAAAUUUUUACCUGUAGAAAUAUAUGGGUCAGCACUAAAAAGAAUUGCUUAAACCUCUAUACUGGAGCUGAUCAGCAAGAAACCAGAGGAAAAAGUAGAAGGCAAUAUCUUCUGCAUCCACUAGCCCCUAUGUCAUGCUACAGCAUCAGCCUGCCUUCUAGUCAAUCGGGCAUAUAUACCGUCUUUAAGGAGAAGCUCCAUGUGACUCCCCAUCUGCAGUUUAGGAACAGAAAUAGUAGUUUAUCCAAGAGUGGGAUGAGCUAAUGUACAACACAAUCUAGCAUCACAAUAUGCGAAAAGCCUUUACACUCCCAGCUCUAUCCCAACCAAAGGAAAAAGUAGAGAGACCACCAUUUUUAGGUAAAACCAACUUCAGAAGUUCAGUGACAAUGUUUGGAAGUUCAAAAUAAAACAGUUAUAAUACAUACCUCAACAAUUCGGCCACCAUCCAUAACCACUAUUCUAUCAGCAGCUUGUAUCGUAGAGAGUCUGUUGAAAGUGGGUGAUCAACAUUCAGACUAGCAAGUAGGAUGUGCUUAAAGAGGAAGUGUCAGAAAACUCACCUGUGUGCAAUUACUAUGACCGUUCUCUUUGUCUUCAAGUCACUUCUGAGAGCACGAAGAACAUUCUACAUAUGCAAAAACAUUGAGUUAAUAACUUCCAGUUUCCAUGUGUUUUUUUAAUGCCAAAUGUGGCUACCUUGACAUUGUGUUCACUCUCUGCAUCCAGUGCACUAGUGGCUUCAUCAAGGACCAAAAUGGUGGGAUCCCUAAGAAGGGCUCGAGCAAUAGCAAUUCGCUGCUUUUGUCCCCCACUCAGUAAAUCAUUGUCAACAAGUGUCUUGUAACCAUUAGGGAGUGACAAGAUGAAAUCAUGGGCAUAUGCCUGCUUGGCAGCCCAUUCCACAUCCUUCUGCUUAAUAUCCCGGGUACAUCCAUAGCGUAUGUUUGAACUGAUAUCCAUACGGAAAAGUCGGGGUUCCUGUUAAAAAUAGUUUAGUAAGAAAGGAUGAGCUUAUAAAUUAAAUUAAUUUCACCACUCAGUAAACUAAAUAAGAAGAACCUGUCCCACAAAUCCAAUUCUCUCCCUCAACCACUUGACAUCCAACUCUUGAAGGGGGAAGCCAUCAAUCAAAACCUACAAUCAAAAUAACAAUUCUUAAUGGUUCCAAUAAUAAACAUCCAAAUCCUAAAUAUUUAAACUAGAAGCAAGAAAAGAAAGUAAUUGAAGACUACAAUUAUCAGUACUUGCUAUCCAACACUCUAGGAGAGAACCGGUUGAUCUAAAUCAAGAAUUAAAAAGGUUUAAUGAAAGGUUCAACUGCCCACAAAAUAUUUUACGUAGAAGAAAAAUUGCAUAAUCUGUCUAAUAAUGCAUAUAGUUUUUAAUAAUUAAAAAAAAUGUAGAAAAUUUAAGACAAACAAGAUCCAAAACAAAAAUUAAAAUUUAAAAGACAAAAUACUAACUUAAAAAGCAAAACAACCUGAUGCUGAUCAUAUAGAAGAAAAGCCUUCAAACUUUCCUUUUAAUGGUUGGUAAUAGGUAUUUCAAACUAAUCUCAGUCCAAAAGAAAAACAGAAAAAUAUUUGAUACCUCAAGACAUCUGGAAACUUGCUCCAACAAAAUAUUUUUGGUACCUCAAAAUUUUUCCUUCAAUUUUUAGCUGAUGAAAAAAUAUAGCUAAGCAUAAUUUCAAUGCAGCCACAUUAAUAGUCUUAGAGAGAUUGGAAUGUUUUGCUUCAAUGCAAAGAAUAAAAUUUUACUUUUCUAAUAGGAUGCCAUCAAUUACAAGAUGAACUGUAACAGUCUUGGCUCCAAUUUCUGCAUUCAUCAAACAUAAAUUUAGCAACUUUGCAGGUAUGUGUAAGAUUUUUAAGCAACUAGACAUCAAAUGACCUUAAUGUGGACAAACUGGCACAGAUUAACAUGAUCUUUAGCUCAAUAUUUUAUCAUUUUUCUCUAAUAUAUUUACUAAAUUACCAUCACACCUGUUUCUUCCAUAUUUUAAUUCAGAGACCAACAGAAGGCUAAAAGAAGCUCACCUGACCAUCCGUUGGCUCAUAAAGACGGAGCAAAAGAUUCACUAUUGUGCUUUUUCCACUACCACUAAGACCAACCUAACCAAAAUUACAUAAGUGGGCAGUUAAUACUUAUGCUCACUAAUUAAAGAAGAAAACAAAAAAAGAAAACAGUCUUACGAUUGCAAGCACUUCAUUAGGAUGCACAGAAAUGUUUACAUGUUGCAGUACAGGUACCUGUUCAAAUUUCAGAUGUCAUUUCCUCCUUUAACUUAGUGCUGAAUUAUCGUAAGCAAAUACAAAAUAAUACAAUUACAGGACAGAAAACAUACCAUUGCCCUUGAAGCAUAAUAAAAGGAUACAUUCACAAACUCAAUAUGUCCUAACAGUCUUUGUAACUUUAAUCCUGUCAUGAAAUAAGAACUGAAAUCAUACUAUUAUACAAAGAUUCUUUGUAACUUUAAUCUUGUCAUGAAAUAUGAACUGAAAUCAUAUUGAUUAUACAAAGAUUGAUAGCAAAUGAAUUAAAGUGCUACUGUUAAUAUUCUAUAGAAACAAUAUAUGAUAUGCAGUUAAAGGCUGCAAUCUUCAUCCCCAUAUCUAUUACAAAAACAGAAGUAAAUCGAACCAAGCACGAAAAGCAAAGCUCAUGCUUGCAACACAUUUCAUUAAAAUUCACAAACCCAUAAAGAAAAGGUUCACAAACUGCUUGCCUUUAGAUAUGAACUGGUCACUAGGCAAGAGAUCCAUCAAUUGGAAGACUUUUUCACUUGCCCCAACAGAUUGCAUCAAUGAUGACAAAUUGUCCCCCACCCACCAUGUUGAAUAAAUCAGCCACUCACUGUAUAAUAUAAACUUUGUAAGUUGCUCUGCUGUUAUAUGACCAGCCAGAAUAGACAUUCCUCCUAUCAGCACAGCAAUAACCUAUAAAAUUAAAUAUGCCAAUUAAAGCAGAAGUCAACUUAUAGGUAUUAAACAAAGAGGUCAUUUUUUACAGUGACUAUUGUACAUAGCUUGCUAUGUCAAUAGGAUGAUAUAGAGUUACCCAUUUGACCUUGGUAAGCAAAAGAUGCAUUAGCAAGCAUGGUUAUUGAAAAAAUGUUUCAACAAAAUAAAUAAAAUCUAGUUUGAAUGUGAAAUGCAAACCCAAAAACUGGCAGUUCAUUUUAAAUGAUAAUGAUAUUUGUGUAUCGGGUAUCCUCUGAAAAUCCUAUUCAGUAGUUAGAAAUUUUCUUAAAAAGAAAAAAGAUCAUAUUGGAAACAAUGAAAUUGUUUUGACAACUUUAGAAAUGGUGAAACCUGUGUUGAGUGAUAAAGAGUGUUGAAGCUCAGGUUCCACAAUCCAUAUGCAGCACUUUGCCGCAAGCUUAUGUCAGCUAUUUUUCCCAGCCACUGCUUGUACCUAUCCAACAUAGCAGGAAAGUAAUAUAUACCUUCCAAAAUCACUUAGGUAUUGAACAAAUGUGUGUUUGCUUAUUUACAUGAUUUCUUCUUCCUCUUCCUUUUUUUUUUUUUUUUUUUUUGGUGCAGAUUAUCCCUGCAAAGGAAAUCAAAAGUGCAGAAAUAUAGGUUACUGCUGAUAGUGGCAUUUGCUACCUUCCAACUUCUUGUUCCUCUGUUCCAUAAACACGAACAGUUCUCAUCAAAGAGAAUGUUUCCUGGGCAACCUAUUAAUUGAAGUAAAAUUCUUCAUUAUAUAAAAAUCACAAAUCCUCCAUAUCCACUUAGAUUACUUAUGGAUAAGCAGUCUUAUCUACCUCAUUAGCAGAAGCAGUGAACUCUUGGAUUAAUUUUGCUGCUUUCUUCUGGUACCUAUACAAGAAAAAUGACAAAAAGGGAAAAUACCAGAAGGCACAGCAAGAGAACAUUUGAAAGUUUUAAAACUUACAAAAAGAAACAAAAGGAAAAAAAAAAUAGAUGACAUGGUAUUUCAAAACAUCAAACAAAGACAUGUUCUUUCCUCCACAAUAUAUCAUAUAUAAUAAACAAUCAGAUGCAGCAUGAUUUCCUAGAGCAAGUGGUUUCUAUAUCUUGAAAGAAAACUAAAGAGUACAGAUGUGGUUAGACUAUCCAAAACUUGGUUAUUUAUUCAAGCAACAAGCCAAGAAGAUGAGAUUCUAAAAUCUCAUAAAGCGUAGCACAUAAGACUAAUUUCUGGAAGAUUGAUCAAAACAUUCCACCUGUAUGCAAUUAUUUAAGCAUGUAGUAAAGGAAAACUACACUUCUGCACUCAAAAAGCCUUUAAUGAACCCUGUGGACAUUAUGAAUGGAAUGUAAUGCCCUUUGGGCUUAAUAAUGAACCCUCUAAAUUGCAGAAUAUAAUGAAUGAAAAUUUUAACCCUUAUUCCAACUUCCUCAUUGUUUAUAUUGAUGAUAUUUUGGUUUUUUCCUCAUCAAUAGAAGAACAUUUGAAGCACCUUAACAGGUUUAUUCAAACAGUCAAGGAUAAUGACUUAAGUUUGUUGGCUUCCAAGAUCAAUCUUUUCCAGACUAAGAUUAGAUUUUUAGGACAUCAAAUUUAACAAGGAACCAUAACCCCAAUCCAAAGAGCAAUUUGGUUUGCUGAUAAGUUUCCUAACGAGAUUAAGGAUAAGAAAAAAGUACAACAUUUCUUAGGAAGUCUUAAUUAUGUAUCGGAUUUUAUCGAAGUCCUAAGCAAGAUAUGUGCCCUGUUAAGACAAAGACUUAAAAGGAUUCUCUUCCAUGGACCACAAAGCAUACUAGAAUUAUUAAACUUAUCAAGACUAUAGUUAAGACUUCACCUUGCCUAAACAUAGCCAACCCAAAAGCUUUUAAGGUUUUUGAAACAGAUGCUUUAGAAAUACGGUAUGGUGGAAUCCUUAAGCAAAAGGAUGGAGAUAAGGAAAGGUUAGUAAGGUUUACUUCAGGAACAUGCAACCAAGCCCAACUCAACUACAAUACAGUCAAAAAGGAAAUUUUAAGCAUUGUUUUAUGCAUCUCAAAAUUUCAAGAUGAUCUUUCUAACCAAAAGUUUUUAAUCCAUGUUGACUACAAAUCAACAAAAUCAAUUUUGUAAAAAGAUGUUAAAAAUAUAACUUUUAAACAUAUUUUUGCUAUAUGACAAACGAUUUUAAAUAUCUUUUUAUUUUAACGAUUUUAAGUAUCUUUUUAUUUUCAAAUUGAAUAUAUUAAAGGAGAAAACAACUCAGAGCCUAAUUUCCUAACCUAUGAACUUUUGAAGGAUUCAUGAGACUAAACCCUAAAAAAGCAACCAAGUCAUCUAAAUUAACUCCCCAAUCUUCUAAGAAAGUUCUGAUCUCUUUAGAGCAACCUAAGGAAACCUUUUCUGGUUUAAGCACCAAAAAACUCCCUUAGAGUCUUCAAGUUGAGCAAAAAGAAGAAAAAGAAAAGCAACUUCCUGAAGUCUCAAAAGGAAGUAGCUUAGAGUUUAUCAAGUUUUAAGAAUCAAGUUGCAGUGGUUCCCAACCCCACCCCAAUUUUCCAAAAAUCUCAUUUUUGGCAUAAGGAUUUUAAGCAGCCUAUUAUGGUUAUUGAGAGAGAAUUUUUAAACAAAGAUCCAAGAGAGAUUGCUAAGAAAACCUUUUGUAAAAAUUUUCAUUAUCGCUCCAAUGAUCUCUUUAAAACUUAGCAAUUUUAUGAACUUAUCUUAAUUGAUAUUGACUUUGUCGAGAAUAAUCAUCACCCAUAUAAAUUUGAUAAUUCGAAGUUUGGAUACUCCACUUGUCAUGUCCUUAAGAUCCUUACAAUCUCUCAGUGGGGACCAAAUUCUAACACCCUAAGAGAAUUUUCUCAACCAUAUAAGCCUAGAUUUUAUAAUUACUGAGAUUACCAAAGAGCCUGAUAUAAUGCUUUCUUCAUUCAAAACAAGAACCUUUGUCAUUCAUGGAUGGUCUAUUUUCAAUCCAAAUUUAAGCUAAACCUGCCAUAUUGGUUCAACAGUUGGUGGUGCUAUUUUGGUCCAACCACUAAGAUUCUUCCGAAACCCAUCCUUCGAGAUUUUAAAGCCUUUCAAGAAAAUUUUGUUCCUCCCAAGGAACUCUCAGUGUUUCCUUAGAUUUUUUUUUUUCCAAUGAAUUUGAUUUAGCCUAGAUAAUCCAAUGGGAUUAUGCUAUCAUUGAAGAAGCUUUAGUAGUGCUCCCUUUCCUAAGAAGAACUUUUCAGACCAAAUGGUGGGAUGAUCUAAAAAAUGAUGCUUCAAUACCAAUAGUCUAGAAGUAUUUUCAGUCUCACCCUCAGGUUCCAAGAUUGGAAGCCAUGUCUCAAUUCCUUAUUAAGAAGCCGCAAACCCAAGUCCAACUUGUAGUCACUAAGACUUUGAAGGAAUAUCUUACAAACUACAAAAUCAAAAAAGGAAGAAGAUUCGCCUCACCCUUUUAGUCGAAAGUAAGAUGUGACUCAAUCAUUUGGAUAAAUAAGACAUUAUUCAUUUCGAGGAUGCACUAUUCAUGUCAAAAGAAUCUUAAUUGUUCACUCACAUGUGUACUAUUCAUGUCAAAAGAAUUUUCACUAUUCAUUCACAUGCAUACCAUUCAUCUCAAAAGAAUCUUCACUAUUCACUCACAUGUGAUCUUUAAGAUUUGUAUUUAAGACUCUUGUAAGGGUUAGAAAAGCCCAUCAACAAUUCUUCCCCCCUUCUUUCUUUUUCCCUAUCCCCAUUUCUUUCUCCAUCUCCCUUAAAUGUAAUCAAAGGAGUUUUUGGUCUAGAAAAGUUCUAUGUGUGUGAGUGUAAGUUAUUUCUCCAUGUAAGUUUGUUAUUUUAUGAUAUAUUAAGAUGUUUUUCUAUUCAAGUUUUGAAUCUUGUUUUCAUUUUCUUUAAAGUUCUUUAAAGAUCUUUUAGCCACAUUCACUAUGUACCACAUUGUCUUGGGUGCUUGAGGGUAUCAGAUCCAUGGAAAUGGUUAUUAAGUUUGCUUUAGGAUUUCAUCUAUCCUAAGAGUAAUGGUUUGCCUAAAGGCGAUCCAAAGGAGCUUGUUUUAGACGAAGGAAAAGGUGUUUGAGGGUAGGAUUUCUGGUGAUUACUCAAUUAGGCUUGUAAAUCCAUGAAUAGGCUUUAGAUUAAGUUUUGAAAUGAGUUCAAUAUUCAAAUCUAUGUCUAGGAGAUCCAUAGAUCCCCAAGAUACCAUUGUUAAUGAUGAAAAGGUAAACUUUUCUCACCUCCAAAAGGAUUUAGAUGAUUGGAAACUACCUAAGAUUUCUAACCAAGAAAAAUAUAAGGAUCGUCCAAGUUUUUCUCUGAUUAGAUAAUUAAGACAAUUGAACAAACCAUAAGUUUAGAACAAAAUCAAAGUAUAAAACUUUUGAAUAGCAGAUUUAUAGAAAGACAUAAGAAAGAUUAUAAUUUUAUACAUCUAGGAAUGAUCUAAGAAGUUGCUAAGUCUUUGGUCAAAAUAGCUCUAAACACUUCCAUCGCAAUGUGCUUAAGAGAUAAUAAACAUCUUGAUUAUAGAGAUUUUAUUAUAGAGCAAUCCAGACAGGAUUAAAUGAUGGACCAACUUGUUUUAAGUGUUUCCCAAACUUCGAAGUAAGAUUAAGGGAUGUAUAUAUAGACACACAUUCGACCAAGAUUAGCUACUAAAAACUCAGUAGAUAAAAGUGAAGCAAGGAUAGCAUGGUCUAUAUGAUUGAUAGGGGCUUUGUAUGGUUACCAUAAGUCAUUCAAUUGAAACAGAAGAAAAUGAAUAAUUCUUGCAUAGUUGAGACAUUUUGAAGAAAGGAUGGGAACUUCUGAUUCUUGAUUUACCAUGAUUCAAACCAUUAAAAAGAAUUUAUACCCCCUCUUUUCCAUACAACCACAAUGUCAACAAAAUUUUGGAACCAAAAAUGAUGUUAUUGAGAAACUCUGAAAUUGCUCAUAAAUGGGUAAAGACCACUGAGAAAAAAAUCAUGGAGUAUUCCGGCACCUUGAUAUUAUGCAAGAAUUGGUAAUAGUAAAAUAGGUGGUCAUGUAACAACACUAUGACAGUAUUUUGGUGCUCCUGUUGUCAUGAAGAGGUGUUACCACUGAAAGAAAGAACUAAUUUUCAUUUAUUAUGCUAAAUCAUGUACAUUGUUGCUGAAUAAUUCUCUUAGUUCAGGAAAAGGACAAUAAUUUUUUUAAUAAAGAGAAAAAUAGAAUAUUCUCCUAAUUUAAAAGGAAAUAUGAUCAGAAAGCUGAAAGAGAAAAGAAGAAUUACAUAUUACAAAAAAUAAAUGUCAUUCUAUCAUAAAUAAUAGAGAGGAGGAUGUCCAAAUCUAUAGUGCCACCGAGUUAGGGAUACUGCUAAAGAUAUUACAUAUUGUGGAUAUGAUACCAAACUAAACAUGUGCUACAUUCUUCUCACACUCUCCACCAAUCAUCUUCCUCCAACAAAGAUCCAGUCAUAUAUGAGAAGGCUCCAAGAUCAAUUAAGGAUGUCAUAGAAUCACAAGGAGAAAAAUAAUAUGGUCCUAGUACCAAGAGAAGCAAUGGGGGAUGGAUUGACUAGCUGGUUACCUUGAGUAAGAGAUUGAUUUGAAUCUCCAUAGGAGAGCACAAAGACAGUUCCAGUACUCUCAUAUGCAGGAGUCACUAAUAUAGAUGGACCGUUCCCAAUAUUAUAAUAAGUCUGAUUAGUCCAAUCUGGCUCACAAAAUUUCACCUAAUACUUCUCAAGUGGGUGAUUACUACACCCAUAGUAAUUGCAAAGAAAUCGGCCUCCACCAAAUCCUUGACCAUGUCAGAAGUUUCCUCUUCCAAGACCACCGUAAAAGAAGAGUGUAGAGCCUUUUUGAGAGAUUGUCUCACAGGCUAAGAAAACAAAGGAGGAUAACCCUGUUCUUUAAGACGAGCAUAUGCAUCAUUAAAUGAUGACAACUCUGCUUCUGUAAGGAUGCUAUUUUGGAACUUUCAUAUACUAGAAUUAGAUUGGACAAAAAUUUUGCUGCUCUGAACUCUUCUCUACAUUUACAAAAUAUCUCAAGAUUAUUGAUAAGAGAAUGAAAGACAGCUAGGAAAACAUUGAGUUCUUUACACAAUCCUUCUAGGAUCCCAUAGUGUUCACUCAGAUUUAUCACCCUAUUGACAAGCAAAGCGUGCAGAAUAUAUCAUAAAUUUUGGAAAUAUUCUGAGCCUGACCUUGCUUGUCUUAGUGCAUCCCAUAUUUGCCUUGUUCUGUUGAUGAAUAUAGCAGUAGAUGUUAUAUGAGACUCCAUAAUAUUCCAGAGGCAAGUCAUCACCAUCGUGUUUUCUUUUCACCAAAAAGUAAACUCCUUUAAAUCUUUAGACAAUAAUAACUUACUGAAAUAUUUCUCCUUGCCCUGUACUAUCACAUAGAUCUCAACAGCUUUUGACCAUAAAAUAUAAUUGGUUAUAUUAAGUUUAACUACUAUAAUAGAAAUGCCAGCUCCAGAAGAGACCAUAGAUGUCAUAGUCAUAAAAGAAAGAUACCACCGAUAAAGGACAGAGAAUUUAGAAACUGAUGGCUAGGUGAUGAAGGUUUAAGGCUCUGUGUAUAGAGAGAUUAGGAACAGUGGCUUUGGCAUGGUGGUUGGAGGCUUGGAGCAGCCUUAGGUUUGAGGCCUGCGCUGCUACCAUGUUAAAAGAAAUAAUUGAUCUUUGUGUAGAAAUUGGGUUGUUGAAUGCAAGGUUUGAAAAAGGUUUCUCUCUCUUAAUUUUUCAUUGAUACGAAGAAAUGUCUAGAUCUUGACACAAUUGACUCUCUAAUAUCACUUCCUAUAAUUAUGGUGGCUACUUUACAAGAAUAAUAAACUGAUUCCUAAACAGAUGAUAUAAAAUAUUUACACAAUAUUCAAAAUAAUAAACUAUCCUAAAGAGUCUCUAACACUUUGUCCAUUAUUAUAAAUCAAUUACAGUAUUUCUGCUAAUUCAGAAAAGAAAAUUAAAAUAUUCUCUUAUCAAAGAGUAAUCCACAAAUAAUAGAGACAAAAUAAGAUAAAAUAAUCUCUAGUUUCAUCAACUAGUAAAAUAGUCAUCUUAAAACCAUCUCAAGACAUAUAGUAAUUAAUAAAGCAAAAACAAUAUUACUAUAUAAGUAUAUAUAAAUUGAUAAAAUGGUAUUUUUAUCUUGAUCAUCCUUACAGCCUUGUCCCUGAUUCUAAAUUAUUAGGGUCCACUAAUUUUUAUAAGGAACCUGUUUCUCCAUUCCACCUUAUCAAACUCAAUAUCUUACAGGUUUCCACUCCACCUUAUCAAAUUCAAUAUCUUCUCUAAUGUCAUAAGACAUCAUGUUUUCACUAAACCUCUGCCUAUUCUCUUUUUGCCUCCUGAUCAUCAGUGUAAUGCCUUCAACUUGAACUACACUUCUAAUAGAACGUCAUUAGACAUAACACACAACUAAAGCAUCUAUUCCAACUUUUUCUCAUCUUUUCCUUAAUUGUUAUUAUCCAUGCUUUCCCACAGUGCAUCCAUUUCAAGUAUCAUUGCUAAUAGAACCAGUUUAGACACAUAAACAAACCACCUGGUCUCUGAUCUCAUCUCUGUUGGUUAUGCCUAAUAUUUCCCAUAGUUUGAUUCAUUUCUAAUUGAGGAUAUGCAUAAACAGUUCUCAGUAAGGCAAAUACAAGUUUGGGACAAGAAAACUUGCAUGAAUCAUAAAACUAGGAACUAUAUGAAGUCUUACCUGCCAUAUAAUAGCAUAAUUAUUAACAGAGUAGAACAUAUCAUCAUUGUACAUAAACCAAGCGGCCAUGACAAGACUAGCAAGUAUAUCAACGCGCCUGUCCCCUAAAAAGGAUAAUAGAAAAACAAGUUAAUUUCUUAAAUUGUUGGCAAACUAAACAGUAGAACUAGUAAUUAUAUUUGAAAAGCAACCUGAAGAACAUUGCGCAGAAUAAGAUUAAGAUCAUUUCCAAUAACACGUGACACUUGCUGACAAUCUGCCCCAAGCCUACUGGUCAAAUCACCAACAGUUUCAUUGUCGAAAAAGGAUAUGUCCUGUAUAGGAGGCAACACCAAUAUAAAUUAAUUAAGACACCAAGAAAUUUGGUUAUAUAUAGUUCACAUAAAAAUGCACACAGAAAGAAAUGUAUCAGAAGAGUACUCUUUAAAUAUUUCAGAACCUGAAAAAGUAGAGCAGAAUAUAAGGUUUCCCUCAUUCGCUUGACCUGCAGAAUGUUAUUGAAACAGCAAUCAGUAUCAAAGUUAUUCCUUCUUUUUUUUCAAAAUUUAAAAUACAAUGUUUACACAAGAAAACUUCGUAAGAGGGGUCUGCAGUUGAAGAAAGCACUAGUUUUGUGCAGUUUGCAUGCAACAGCCAUAAAACAAGCAUGACAGUGGCAUAUGUUGGUUAGUUCUAGGACGAGAAAGAACCCUACAAAUAAUCUGGACAUCCACAUACCCCAACACAGUGUAUAGGACAAAUCACAUUCGAACUCUUUCAAUCCAUCCAAGCAAAUUUCAAAAGGUGGACUAGGUAGAGAGUCAAUAUAAAAUACUUCAGUCACUAUUCUAAAGGCAGCUGCAUACACAUCUCAUAUCAUGGGGGUACAUCAUUGUUUUCUAAAUAAUGAAAGUCUCGAAAGGAAAAAGGGGGGAAAACAUGAUAUGGAAACUCACAAGGAUCAUGUUUGCUAUGCCAAAGCAGCAACCUCGAAGACCACUGAAGUUCAAAUAAACAUAGCAUGGGGUCAGCAGCUCUGUCACAUUGUCCAAGCAGAUGGCCGAAUUCCACUUACAAAUGUACAAAAUUGGAUAUGAAAAGAAUGUUUAAAACCAUGAACAUAAAAUGACAUGCAUUUACUUUGAAAUAUCAUAUUUGUAAUGCAUGUUUUCAGCAAGAAAACAUAUGCAUGGGAAUAAGAAAAGCUCAUACUUGGUCAUUCAUCAGUAUUUUUAUGUAAUAGAAAGGUCCUUGAAUUGAGAUUGAGAUUGAGCCUUAACUGACUUCCUGAAGACUCCAAACAACCAUUUCUCAAUUCCCAUUAUGGGUAUUAAAAAUAAGAUGCUCUCGUCCAAACUCAUCAACCAACAUACUGGCAAAUCAUUCACAUAUUGCAUAUUCAUUCCUAAACAUUCUACUAGAUGCAACUUUAUUAUCCAAUCAAAGUAAAUUAAGUACUCAAAGCAUGAUAAUAAUAGUGGUGACAAAUCAUUGCCCAGCCUUGAAAAUAUCCUAUGCCUGCAUAGACAUGUCAACGCUCCCCCAGAUAUAAAUAUCUGGCAUUGAGUUACCUAGCAAUGGUAAGCCAUGAAGAAUAAAAGACCAAAAACAUAUGUAAAGUUGCCACUAUACAAGAAGAAAUGGUUGUAAACCCCAAAUUUAGCAUUACCUACAGUCCAACCCAUGUCCAAUGAUUCAGUCCUUGACCCAUAGGCAAAUGGAUUGUAAGGAUUUUUUUUUUUCCCUUUUCAAAAGAUGAACCCCCUAGAAGCGUUUGAGAGAGAAAAUUGACAACUAUUUGGUUCUCAUUCCAAUUAAAUCCAAACAAUUUUUAGAAUAAAAGAUAUUCAUGUCACUUUGUUGCAGGUAGAUCUCUCUUUGAAAUAAAAUAAUAUAUUUAACAUUAUCAAAUCAUAAAUCAUUAUUAACUCAAAACUUUUUGAAUAUUCAAAUCACAAAAUGUUUGAAUUAUCAUUUUUAAGCUACCUACUUUUCUAGUCACUUAUUAGAGCUUCAAUUGUUAGGCAGUGGACCCAUAAUAUAUAUCAUGCUAACAUCCUCCUUUACAUGUCGUCUCAUACCCACAUGAGGAAAGAUGAAUAGACAACCAAGAGAAUCACAAAUUUGUGAUCAUGCUAACACCCACGUUUAUGUGCAGCCUCAUACCCACACAUGGGAAGACACGUUGACAGAUAGGUAAAUCACCCUC
rnacentral:lncRNA from 1 species